GACGAACGCUGGCGGCGUGCUUAACACAUGCGAGUCGAACGGAAAGGCCUUUUCGGAGGUACUCGAGUGGCGAACGGGUGAGUAACACGUGGGUGAUCUGCCCUGCACUCUGGGAUAAGCCUGGGAAACUGGGUCUAAUACCGGAUAGGACCGCACUUUAGUGUGUGUGGUGGAAAGUUUUUUCGGUGUAGGAUGAGCCCGCGGCCUAUCAGCUUGUUGGUGGGGUAAUGGCCUACCAAGGCGGCGACGGGUAGCCGGACUGAGAGGUUGGUCGGCCACAUUGGGACUGAGAUACGGCCCAGACUCCUACGGGAGGCAGCAGUGGGGAAUAUUGCACAAUGGGCGCAAGCCUGAUGCAGCGACGCCGCGUGGGGGAUGACGGCCUUCGGGUUGUAAACUCCGUUCGCCAGGGACGAAGCGUUUUGUGACGGUACCUGGAGAAGAAGCACCGGCUAACUACGUG
rnacentral:rRNA from 1 species